rnacentral:rRNA from 1 species
CCACAUUGGGACUGAGACACGGCCCAGACUCCUACGGGAGGCAGCAGUGGGGAAUAUUGCACAAUGGGGGAAACCCUGAUGCAGCGACGCUGCGUGGAGGAAGAAGGUCUUCGGAUUGUAAACUCCUGUUGUUGAGGAAGAUAAUGACGGUACUCAACAAGGAAGUGACGGCUAACUACGUGCCAGCAGCCGCGGUAAAACGUAGGUCACAAGCGUUGUCCGGAAUUACUGGGUGUAAAGGGAGCGCAGGCGGGAAGACAAGUUGGAAGUGAAAUCUAUGGGCUCAACCCAUAAACUGCUUUCAAAACUGUUUUUCUUGAGUAGUGCAGAGGUAGGCGGAAUUCCCGGUGUAGCGGUGGAAUGCGUAGAUAUCGGGAGGAACACCAGUGGCGAAGGCGGCCUACUGGGCACCAACUGACGCUGGGGCUCGAAAGUGUGGGUAGCAAACAGGAUUAGAUACCCUGGUAGUCCACACCGUAAACGAUGAUAAGGAGGUGUUGGAGGAUUGACCCCUUCAGUGCCGC